AAGAUUAUAGUUAAUUAUAACAUUUGAUUUGCACUCAAAAAGUAUUGGUACCAAUUUUUCUUA
rnacentral:tRNA from 1 species